AAUUAUUAAUUUUUUUUUAAUAUUUUUUUAUUCCUCAAAUAGCACCAAUAAGUUGAUUAGUUUUAUUUUUAU
rnacentral:tRNA from 1 species